ensembl:lncRNA
AGAAGCGCUAUGAGGUAUGACUGUUAAAUAACGAAAAGUAGCUCCUCUUGCUAAAAGCAUUGACUAGAAGUUAUAGCCUUGAAUUCAAAUACUAAUUACACCCACGGUUAUUUAACCUAUGUAACCUAUUGUGCAAAAGUCUUGACCCACCCCUAAUUUCUUUAUCUUUUGCUUCCAAGCUGCCGGAACUUCUUGUAAUUGUAAUAAAAUGCCAAAGAUAACACAGUUGAACAGGCAUGAAGUAAUAUUUUCUGAUUCACCUAUUAACUGAAACCUUUGCAGGUCUUGGCGUGUGUGUGUGUGUGUGUGUGUGUGUGUGUGUGUGUGUGUGUGUGCCAGAUAUCUGGCUGAGCCCUCAUCAGAAAUGGUCUCAGUGGAGGGGUGAAUUUCAAGAAGCAAUUCUUAAGGAAGGAAAACGGAGAAAACGCUGAGGUCUUCCAGGACUGCUGUUCCUUCAAUCACAAUUUUAGCGACAGCUGGGAGAGACACUGCUGCUCGUCUGGUGUCUACAAUCUUUACCACUUCUUCUGGGAACUGUUGUUCACCAUCCUGGCAAGUAGGUAGUUUAAAUGGAAACAUGUCAGCAUUUUAUGUGCCAUUUAAAAAUAAAACACAAAAGAAUGCGAGAUUCACCUACCAGCUGUUCUCUGAAGAGAUCCUCUUCCUUCUCUUUCAGAUACACCUUCAGGCAACGGAUUGCGACCUCUCUCUUCAUUUCCACCGAACUCUGGAGAAUAAAAAAAGCAAAACAAAACUUAAACUUACAGUUUAUUAGGUGAAAAGUCAAAACUAUUACAUUUAUGUGACUUGCAUUGUGCCAAAUAUUGAUUUUAAAUAUGUUUUUAAAAGAAAUAAAGAUUUAAUCUUUGUAACUUCAA